rnacentral:lncRNA from 1 species
AGUAGGGAGUUAUAACAACUGCGUGCAGUUGUGGGCGGUUUUGAUCGGCCAAAGUGGGUCCGGAAUACUAGGAAAUAGUGGCUAAUCGUGCAAUAACUGUAUCAGGGGGUGAUAGGAUAAAUAGGUCGAUGAUACCGUGAAAACAGGUCUUUGCCCCUGCGAACAAAAUACCACCCUUAUUUUCCUGCAUAUUUCUUUCCUGCAUUUACCGUUUUUCCUAGG